GCUUUUUGCACAUGCUUUAAAAUACAUGGAAUAUUUAACAAUUUAGAAUUCAUAAUAAUAUGUACAUGUAUCUGCAAUAUGUACUGGAGUAAUGAGGAUACAGCGUAUAACGGCUAUGUCUUCAUAACUAUGAAGAGAAAGGCAACAACGCCGGCUCGAUGUUCUGGUCCAUCCACAAAAAAACCCACAAAGUCAGACACUGUGCCAAAGUUGUUGAGUCUAAGAUGUCUGUAAGAGUCCACCUAUCAACUCAAGUGUGGUUAACCGUUAAAGCUGCCAGCCCCUACCAAUUGGAGCCACAUUGUUUUUGUUACUUGUUGUACUGUUGAAUGUCAAUAACAAUUUUAAA